CACCUCAGUAAAAGCGGCGGACUGGUGAGUACGCGUGGGUGAUCUACCUUGACUGACGGGGAUAGCUGUAAGAAAUAGCAGGUAAUACCGGAUAUGGUCACGGGGUUAUGACUCUGUGAAGAAAGGCGCUAUGGCGCCGCCUUGAGAUGAGCCCGCGUCCCAUUAGCUACGUUGGUGUACGUAAAGGUGCACCAAGGCGAAGAUGGGUAGCCGGCCUGAGAGGGUGAACGGCACACUGGGACUGAGAUACGGCCCAGACUCCUACGGGAGGCAGCAGCUACAGAAUAUUCCGCAAUGGACGAAAGUCUGACGGAGCGACGCCGCGUGGAUGAGGAAGGCCGAAAAGGUUGUAAAAUCCUUUUGCAGCACGACAGAAUAAGUAGGGUAGGGAAUGACCUUAUGAUGACCGUUAGUCUGCGAAUAAGACACCCGGCUAAUUAC
rnacentral:rRNA from 1 species